GAUGAACGCUGGCGGCGUGCCUAAUACAUGCAAGUCGAGCGAACAGACGAGGAGCUUGCUCCUCUGACGUUAGCGGCGGACGGGUGAGUAACACGUGGAUAACCUACCUAUAAGACUGGGAUAACUUCGGGAAACCGGAGCUAAUACCGGAUAAUAUAUUGAACCGCAUGGUUCAAUAGUGAAAGACGGUUUUGCUGUCACUUAUAGAUGGAUCCGCGCCGCAUUAGCUAGUUGGUAAGGUAACGGCUUACCAAGGCGACGAUGCAUAGCCGACCUGAGAGGGUGAUCGGCCACACUGGAACUGAGACACGGUCCAGACUCCUACGGGAGGCAGCAGUAGGGAAUCUUCCGCAAUGGGCGAAAGCUUGACGGAGCAACGCCGCGUGAGUGAUGAAGGUCUUCGGAUCGUAAAACUCUGUUAUUAGGGAAGAACAAAUGUGUAAGUAACUAUGCACAUCUUGACGGUACCUAAUCAGAAAGCCACGGCUAACUACGUG
rnacentral:rRNA from 1 species